AGAAUCCCAUGAAGGUUGAGAAUGAAGGUCGUGUCAGCGACCGACUAUGAGAGUCUUCAUGGGUGUUUUUUCCAAGAUC
rnacentral:scRNA from 1 species